GUGUCGAUGCUCCAAACAUGCACGAAUAGCUGGCAUUAAAGGUUCUAGCAAUUCUGCUUCUUUCAAUUUGCAAAGAAAACGAAGAGUAGAUCCUCGAAUAAAUUCAUUAGGAUGUUGAAGAUCCUUUCUGUAUGCAUCACAUACAAGGAUCAUCUCAUGUAAAAGUCUCCCAUCUGGAGUUGUUUUAGGAACAAUUUCCCAAAAUACCAGAAGUAAUUUCUUGAUAGUGUGAUCCUGAAGAGGUAGCACAAAACGAAUGAUGGUCAUCAGAAGUCCAGGAAGUUUUUCACCAUUCAGAAUCAUAAUGAUUACUUUCUUC
rnacentral:lncRNA from 1 species